rnacentral:rRNA from 1 species
AACGAACGCUGGCGGCAUGCCUAACACAUGCAAGUCGAACGAGACCUUCGGGUCUGGUGGCGCACGGGUGCGUCACGCGUGGGAACCUGCCCUUAGGUUCGGAAUAACUCCCCGAAAGGGGUGCUAAUACCGGAUAAUGUCUUCGGACCAAAGAUUUAUCGCGUUUGGAUGGGCCCGCGUUGGUUUAGCUAGUUGGUAGGGUAAAAGCCUACCACGGCGACGCUCCAUAGCUGGUCUGAGAGGAUGAUCAGCCACACUGGGACUGAGACACGGCCCGGAAUCCUACGGGAGGGAGCAGUGGGGAAUAUUGGACAAUGGGCGAAAGGCUGAUCCAGCAAGGCCGGGUGAGUGAUGAAGGCCUUAGGGAUGUAAAGCUCUUUUACCCGGGAUGAUAAUGACAGUACCGGGAGAAUAAGCGCCGGCUAACUCCGUG